ensembl:lncRNA
GCUAGGAGAACACUCUCGCACGUGCUUAGAACACAUCUUCAAUCUCUUUUACUUCAGAGCAUCAGUUUACCAUACCGAAAAUACUUUAUACAAAUAAAGUCUCUUUAAAGCUAUUUCUUUGGAUUCGACCCUCCUUCCACGAAGAAAUACGUUGCAAAUUGGUGACCCCUGACGAUUCUUGGAAGGUUCCGGACCGAGACCAGCGACCGCGGGGCCGUCGGGAGCAGUACAAGCUACUUACAGGUACCACAAGAAAGCGUGGUCUCAAGACGGCUGCAUAGACCCACAACUAUCGACCUUUGGUUUGGUCCUAUGUUUCCAGAAGCAAGGUGAGUACAGUGUAUCACUCUGACACAGCUAACUUUGCAUCUAAUGCUUACGGUUAGAUUCAUGCUUACACUUACAUUUCUAGGGUCCCAUAAUGGACUUCCAUUAGAACAAUUAAAAAUAGAAUUAUAGGAAAUGUUUUUGAACAACUAACUGCUGUACAUGAGUUUUUAUUUCUACAAUAGAAACAAAAGUUCCAGAACCAAAUGCAGACACACCCGAGCCGAUAAACUGCCUCCGCCGAGCAAGGAGCAGUCACAUGAGGAGAUCAAAUAACGGCAGGAGUUGAAUUGGUUCUGUUUUGCUUGUCCACCAUAUAAAAAUUAUGUAUAUAUAUAUUGUUUAGAUAAAUUACAUGUAUCAUAAUCAGCA